AGUGAACGCUGGCGGCAUGCCUUACACAUGCAAGUCGAACGGCAGCAUAGGAGCUUGCUCCUGAUGGCGAGUGGCGAACGGGUGAGUAAUAUAUCGGAACGUGCCCUAGAGUGGUGGAUAACUAGUCGAAAGACUAGCUAAUACCGCAUACGAUCUAAGGCAGAAAGUGGGGGAUCGCAAGACCUCAUGCACCUGGAGCGGUCGAUAUCUGAUUAGCUAGUUGGUGGGGUAAAAGACUACCAAGGCAACGAUCAGUGGCUGGUUUGAGAGGACGACCAGCCACACUGGGACUGAGACACGGCCCAGACUCCUACGGGAGGCAGCAGUGGGGAAUUUUGGACAAUGGGGGCAACCCUGAUCCAGCAAUGCCGCGUGAGUGAAGAAGGCCUUCGGGUUGUAAAGCUCUUUUGUCAGGGAAGAAACGGUAGUAGCGAAUAACUAUUACUAAUGACGGUACCUGAAGAAUAAGCACCGGCUAACUACGUGCCAGCAGCCGCCGUAA
rnacentral:rRNA from 1 species